UUACCAGCCUACUAGUAUCCAUAGGGAUCCAUAAGGGGUCCCCGCUACACGUGAAUAAUUAACAUUAAUAAUCUGAUUCCAGCGUCGUCCCCAUACCCCGUCCGGUAUGGGCGCCAAAAUUACAAACCUCAAUACCCGGUCCGAUAUGAGGGUGAAACGGACCGUCCUCAUACCCCGUCUGGUAUGGGCGCCAAAAUACAUAAGGUCUCUAUACCCCGUCCGAUAUGAGAGACCACGUUCCCAGUAGGGUUCCCUACGGAUCCAAUCCGUCUACCAUCUCCUAGGAUAUCUAGUCAGACUUUUCACGUUAUCCAUUUAUCAAUUUACACACAUUUUCUAUUUUUUUUAGUUUUCUGUUUC
rnacentral:lncRNA from 1 species